ensembl:lncRNA
GUGUGUGAUAACUUUUUUAAACAUUUUGUUGAGCUCUGAUAAUAUAAUGAUUUUGUGUAAAUGAUAAAUGAAAGUCAGAUUAACUAAAAAUAUAAGUGGAGAACUUAAAUCAAAAAAUGUAACUUUUUCAUGUAAAAGUCAUGUUUAUUUAACAUGCUGAGUAUGCAGAGUAAACAUAACCAAUAACCAUUUUUUUUCAGUGUACUAAAAAACAUUAUAUACUGAAAAUAUAAUACAAAAGGAGGUGAUUGUAAAUUCACACCUUCAGUUACAAAACUUUUUUAGGCUUAUUUUCUGUUGAAUCUUUUUACAUCACAUCUUUUCUCAUUAUUUUAGAGUCCUUACAGUUGGAUGCUUCGCCAGUGAACGUUCAUUAAGAAAACAUGGCUAAUACCACAGAAACCUCUGGAGAGUUAGAGAUUGUCGAUGACAACGCUAUACUGAAAGCAGAUUUCAUUCAGGAGCUUCUUCCAUCUGCGGAGCGAACGGCUCUCCUUUAUCACCUGACUUUCCUGAGUCUGGGAGGAUUCCCAAAGCUUGAGCGUGUGAUCAGAGAUCAAGCUAUUGAAACACAACUGCUGUUCGGAUCCUCUGAAGCCCUUCUGCUGAGGUGUGUCGGCACAAGUUCCAACCUGGUCACCUCCCUGUUUCCAAUGUUGAAAACGGCUGUGGUGAAGAACAAACCCGAUUUGGCGAAGAAGUACCUGAAGAAAGCUGAAGACUGGAUCACUGACAUCAUAACACAAGUGGAUGACAUUGUGAAGAGGUAUGAUAAACACAACCAAAGUGUGAAAACAUGCACCAGUGAUGUGUAUCAAGAACAAGCAGAGACCAAAGAAGAAAAAGAUAAAAAAUCUGAUGAGAUGAAGGGUCUGGAGGUUGCUGUCGCCAAGCUCCAACUGGAUCUGAAAAAAGUAGUCGACAAAGUGGAGAUGAAUGAGAAACAAAUUAAAAACAACACUGAGGAGCUGAAUAGCUUCAUCAGUAGAUUUCAGGAAGAACAUGGCCACUGGACUGUGAAGUUCCUUGACGCUUUUAGAGGCUAUCCAGACGCUAUGAAGGAGCCUACUGCCAUUGAUCUGGAUAGAAAACUGAAACAACUCGACUCUGAGAAGAGCCUUCUGAAAAAUGAAGAGUGGAACAUCAAAACCAAGCAGCUUGAUCUUCAGCUGCAGCUGGCCAACUGUAAAAUACGGAUGGGUGAGAUUCCCGACCCUGACAACCUGAAGGAAGUCCAGCUGUGUCUUUCUCAAAUCCAACAAAUUCUGGUUGAUCUGAAAAAGUUUUGGGAGAAGGUGGAUGCUAUUCUGAGCACGCUGAGAGAUAGAACCUUUGCUGGGGAAGAAAUGGUUGACAUGGAGGACAUGAAGGAUGAGUUCAUAAGCUCUAUUGAAGAUGCAGCAAAGUACUGGAAGAAAUUUGGUGUGUGCUGUCAGAAGGCUGAAGGCGUCUUCAGUGUUCAGUCUAGAGAUGCAUAUAAAUUCCUGGAGAUGAAUCCGUCUUCGCUCUCUGAGGAUGAGAGGAAAAAGCAGUACUUGUCUAUCACAGAGAAGCUGAAUAAAAUCAAUCCAAACCCGCCAGCACUGAGUAACACCCAGAUCUGAUGCUUCCUGAAUGCUCCUUACACAAAUCAAUGCAUACAGCUUCUCUUGGCAUUUUCAUAAUUCUGUGUAAUCUCCUGUAAAUUGUUCUUGAACAUGUUCAAUUACAGUUCUACAUAUGCAUGUUCUUUAACAAGUUGAUGUUAGGAAUAUUAUUUAGAUCAAUUUAUGGCUAUCUCUUUCAAAAUUGCUUUGCAUUUUUAUCAUGCUGUAUACAGAUCUUGUGGUCUGGUCAUGUGAUUAAUGUCUAUGUCUCACAAUAAAGACAAAAGGCAUG